CAUGUAGGCAGAUUAAUAAGUUUGAAGUGAAAUCCUAUAGCUUAACUAUAGAACUGCUUUGAAAACUGUUAAUCUAGAAUGUGGGAGAGGUAGAUGGAAUUUCUGGUGUAGGGGUAAAUCCGUAGAGAUCAGAAGGAAUACCGAUUGCGAAGGCGAUCUACUGGAACAUUAUUGACGCUGAGAUGCGAAAGCGUGGGGAGCAAACA
rnacentral:rRNA from 1 species